rnacentral:rRNA from 1 species
AACGAACGCUGGCGGCAUGCCUAACACAUGCAAGUCGAACGAUGCCUUCGGGCUUAGUGGCGCACGGGUGCGUAACGCGUGGGAAUCUGCCCUUGGGUUCGGAAUAACAGUUAGAAAUGACUGCUAAUACCGGAUGAUGUCUUCGGACCAAAGAUUUAUCGCCCAAGGAUGAGCCCGCGUCGGAUUAGCUAGUUGGUGAGGUAAAGGCUCACCAAGGCGACGAUCCGUAGCUGGUCUGAGAGGAUGAUCAGCCACACUGGGACUGAGACACGGCCCAGACGCCUACGGGAGGCAGCAGUGGGGAAUAUUGGACAAUGGGCGAAAGCCUGCUCCAGCAAUGCCGCGUGAGUGAUGAAGGCCUUAGGGUUGUAAAGCUCUUUUACCCGGGAUGAUAAUGACAGUACCGGGAGAAUAAGCCCCGGCUAACUCCGUGCCAGCCGCCGCCGUAACAC